GUGCCAGCAGCCGCGGUAAUACGUAGGGCGCGAGCGUUGUCCGGAAUUAUUGGGCGUAAAGGGCUCGUAGGCGGUUUGUCGCGUCUAGCGUUUAAGGCUCGGGCUUAACCCGGGUUUGCGUUGGGUACGGGCAGGCUUGAGUGCGGUAGGGGUAACUGGAAUUCCUGGUGUAGCGGUGGAAUGCGCAGAUAUCAGGAGGAACACCGGUGGCGAAGGCGGGUUACUGGGCCGUUACUGACGCUGAGGAGCGAGAGCGUGGGGAGCGAACAGGAU
rnacentral:rRNA from 1 species